rnacentral:rRNA from 1 species
GCCGGGCGGGGCCUACGGGAGGCAGCAGUGGGGAAUAUUGCACAAUGGGCGCAAGCCUGAUGCAGCCAUGCCGCGUGUAUGAAGAAGGCCUUCGGGUUGUAAAGUACUUUCAGCGGGGAGGAAGGGAGUAAAGUUAAUACCUUUGCUCAUUGACGUUACCCGCAGAAGAAGCACCGGCUAACUCCGUGCCAGCAGCCGCGGU